AUUGAACGCUGGCGGAAUGCUUUACACAUGCAAGUCGAACGGCAGCACGGACUUCGGUCUGGUGGCGAGUGGCGAACGGGUGAGUAAUACAUCGGAACGUGCCCAGUCGUGGGGGAUAACGUAGCGAAAGCUACGCUAAUACCGCAUACGAUCUAAGGAUGAAAGCGGGGGAUCGCAAGACCUCGCGCGAUUGGAGCGGCCGAUGGCAGAUUAGGUAGUUGGUGGGGUAAAGGCUCACCAAGCCGACGAUCUGUAGCUGGUCUGAGAGGACGACCAGCCACACUGGGACUGAGACACGGACCAGACUCCUACGGGAGGCAGCAGUGGGGAAUUUUGGACAAUGGGCGCAAGCCUUAUCCAGCCAUUCCGCGUGCAGGAUGAAGGCCCUCGGGUUGUAAACUGCUUUUGUACGGAACGAAAAGGCUCUGGUUAAUACCUGGGGCUCAUGACGGUACCGUAAGAAUAAGCACCGGCUAACUACGUGCCAGCCGCCGCGGUAA
rnacentral:rRNA from 1 species